ACCACCUUCGGGUGGGGAUUAGUGGCGAACGGGUGAGUAACACGUGGGCAAUCUGCCCUGCACUCUGGGACAAGCCCUGGAAACGGGGUCUAAUACCGGAUACUGACCUGCCAAGGCAUCUUGGCGGGUCGAAAGCUCCGGCGGUGCAGGAUGAGCCCGCGGCCUAUCAGCUUGUUGGUGAGGUAAUGGCUCACCAAGGCGACGACGGGUAGCCGGCCUGAGAGGGCGACCGGCCACACUGGGACUGAGACACGGCCCAGACUCCUACGGGAGGCAGCAGUGGGGAAUAUUGCACAAUGGGCGAAAGCCUGAUGCAGCGACGCCGCGUGAGGGAUGACGGCCUUCGGGUUGUAAACCUCUUUCAGCAGGGAAGAAGCGAAAGUGACGGUACCUGCAGAAGAAGCGCCGGCUAACUACGUGCCAGCAGCCGCGGUAAUACGUAGGGCGCAAGCGUUGUCCGGAAUUAUUGGGCGUAAAGAGCUCGUAGGCGGCUUGUCGCGUCGGUUGUGAAAGCCCGGGGCUUAACCCCGGGUCUGCAGUCGAUACGGGCAGGCUAGAGUUCGGUAGGGGAGAUCGGAAUUCCUGGUGUAGCGGUGAAAUGCGCAGAUAUCAGGAGGAACACCGGUGGCGAAGGCGGAUCUCUGGGCCGAUACUGACGCUGAGGAGCGAAAGCGUGGGGAGCGAACAGGAUUAGAUACCCUGGUAGUCCACGCCGUAAACGGUGGGCACUAGGUGUGGGCAACAUUCCACGUUGUCCGUGCCGCAGCUAACGCAUUAAGUGCCCCGCCUG
rnacentral:rRNA from 2 species